rnacentral:rRNA from 1 species
GACGAACGCUGGCGGCGUGCUUAACACAUGCAAGUCGAACGGAAAGGCCCUGCUUUUGUGGGGUGCUCGAGUGGCGAACGGGUGAGUAACACGUGAGUAACCUGCCCUUGACUUUGGGAUAACUUCAGGAAACUGGGGCUAAUACCGGAUAGGAGCUCCUGCCGCAUGGUGGGGGUUGGAAAGUUUCGGCGGUUGGGGAUGGACUCGCGGCUUAUCAGCUUGUUGGUGGGGUAGUGGCUUACCAAGGCUUUGACGGGUAGCCGGCCUGAGAGGGUGACCGGCCACAUUGGGACUGAGAUACGGCCCAGACUCCUACGGGGGGCAGCGGUGGGGAAUAUUGCACAAUGGGCGGAAGCCUGAUGCAGCAACGCCGCGUGCGGGAUGACGGCCUUCGGGUUGUAAACCGCUUUCGCCUGUGACGAAGCGUGAGUGACGGUAAUGGGUAAAGAAGCACCGGCUAACUACGUG